CGGGCGUGAAGACUCUACUUGACUAGCUGAGAGGAGGUGCAUGGCCGUCGUCAGUUCGUACUGUGAAGCAUCCUGUUAAGUCAGGCAACGAGCGAGACCCACGCCAACAGUUGCCAGCUCGUCCUCCGGGAUGGUGGGGACACUGUUGGGACCGCCUCUGCUAAAGAGGAGGAAGGAAUGGGCAACGGUAGGUCAGCAUGCCCCGAAUUAUCUGGGCUACACGCGGGCUACAAUGGGUGGGACAAUGGGUAUCGACACCGAAAGGUGAAGGCAAUCUCCUAAACCCAUCCGUAGUUCGGAUUGUGGGCUGCAACUCGCCCACAUGAAGCUGGAAUCUGUAGUAAUCGUGUCUCAAAAUGGCACGGUGAAUAUGUCCCUGCUCCUU
rnacentral:rRNA from 1 species